rnacentral:rRNA from 1 species
GGGUUGUGAGGUUAAGCGACUAAGCGUACACGGUGGAUGCCCUGGCAGUCAGAGGCGAUGAAGGACGUGCUAAUCUGCGAUAAGCGUCGGUAAGGUGAUAUGAACCGUUAUAACCGGCGAUUUCCGAAUGGGGAAACCCAGUGUGAUUCGUCACACUAUCAUUAACUGAAUCCAUAGGUUAAUGAGGCGAACCGGGGGAACUGAAACAUCUAAGUACCCCGAGGAAAAGAAAUCAACCGAGAUUCCCCCAGUAGCGGCGAGCGAACGGGGAGCAGCCCAGAGCCUGAAUCAGUGUGUGUGUUAGUGGAAGCGUCUGGAAAGGCGCGCGAUACAGGGUGACAGCCCCGUACACAAAAAUGCACAUACUGUGAGCUCGAUGAGUAGGGCGGGACACGUGGUAUCCUGUCUGAAUAUGGGGGGACCAUCCUCCAAGGCUAAAUACUCCUGACUGACCGAUAGUGAACCAGUACCGUGAGGGAAAGGCGAAAAGAACCCCGGCGAGGGGAGUGAAAAAGAACCUGAAACCGUGUACGUACAAGCAGUGGGAGCACGCUUAGGCGUGUGACUGCGUACCUUUUGUAUAAUGGGUCAGCGACUUAUAUUCUGUAGCAAGGUUAACCGAAUAGGGGAGCCGAAGGGAAACCGAGUCUUAACUGGGCGUUAAGUUGCAGGGUAUAGACCCGAAACCCGGUGAUCUAGCCAUGGGCAGGUUGAAGGUUGGGUAACACUAACUGGAGGACCGAACCGACUAAUGUUGAAAAAUUAGCGGAUGACUUGUGGCUGGGGGUGAAAGGCCAAUCAAACCGGGAGAUAGCUGGUUCUCCCCGAAAGCUAUUUAGGUAGCGCCUCGUGAAUUCAUCUCCGGGGGUAGAGCACUGUUUCGGCAAGGGGGUCAUCCCGACUUACCAACCCGAUGCAAACUGCGAAUACCGGAGAAUGUUAUCACGGGAGACACACGGCGGGUGCUAACGUCCGUCGUGAAGAGGGAAACAACCCAGACCGCCAGCUAAGGUCCCAAAGUCAUGGUUAAGUGGGAAACGAUGUGGGAAGGCCCAGACAGCCAGGAUGUUGGCUUAGAAGCAGCCAUCAUUUAAAGAAAGCGUAAUAGCUCACUGGUCGAGUCGGCCUGCGCGGAAGAUGUAACGGGGCUAAACCAUGCACCGAAGCUGCGGCAGCGACACUAUGUGUUGUUGGGUAGGGGAGCGUUCUGUAAGCCUGUGAAGGUGUGCUGUGAGGCAUGCUGGAGGUAUCAGAAGUGCGAAUGCUGACAUAAGUAACGAUAAAGCGGGUGAAAAGCCCGCUCGCCGGAAGACCAAGGGUUCCUGUCCAACGUUAAUCGGGGCAGGGUGAGUCGACCCCUAAGGCGAGGCCGAAAGGCGUAGUCGAUGGGAAACAGGUUAAUAUUCCUGUACUUGGUGUUACUGCGAAGGGGGGACGGAGAAGGCUAUGUUGGCCGGGCGACGGUUGUCCCGGUUUAAGCGUGUAGGCUGGUUUUCCAGGCAAAUCCGGAAAAUCAAGGCUGAGGCGUGAUGACGAGGCACUACGGUGCUGAAGCAACAAAUGCCCUGCUUCCAGGAAAAGCCUCUAAGCAUCAGGUAACAUCAAAUCGUACCCCAAACCGACACAGGUGGUCAGGUAGAGAAUACCAAGGCGCUUGAGAGAACUCGGGUGAAGGAACUAGGCAAAAUGGUGCCGUAACUUCGGGAGAAGGCACGCUGAUAUGUAGGUGAAGUCCCUUGCGGAUGGAGCUGAAAUCAGUCGAAGAUACCAGCUGGCUGCAACUGUUUAUUAAAAACACAGCACUGUGCAAACACGAAAGUGGACGUAUACGGUGUGACGCCUGCCCGGUGCCGGAAGGUUAAUUGAUGGGGUCAGCGCAAGCGAAGCUCUUGAUCGAAGCCCCGGUAAACGGCGGCCGUAACUAUAACGGUCCUAAGGUAGCGAAAUUCCUUGUCGGGUAAGUUCCGACCUGCACGAAUGGCGUAAUGAUGGCCAGGCUGUCUCCACCCGAGACUCAGUGAAAUUGAACUCGCUGUGAAGAUGCAGUGUACCCGCGGCAAGACGGAAAGACCCCGUGAACCUUUACUAUAGCUUGACACUGAACAUUGAGCCUUGAUGUGUAGGAUAGGUGGGAGGCUUGGAAGUGUGGACGCCAGUCUGCAUGGAGCCGACCUUGAAAUACCACCCUUUAAUGUUUGAUGUUCUAACGUUGACCCGUAAUCCGGGUUGCGGACAGUGUCUGGUGGGUAGUUUGACUGGGGCGGUCUCCUCCUAAAGAGUAACGGAGGAGCACGAAGGUUGGCUAAUCCUGGUCGGACAUCAGGAGGUUAGUGCAAUGGCAUAAGCCAGCUUGACUGCGAGCGUGACGGCGCGAGCAGGUGCGAAAGCAGGUCAUAGUGAUCCGGUGGUUCUGAAUGGAAGGGCCAUCGCUCAACGGAUAAAAGGUACUCCGGGGAUAACAGGCUGAUACCGCCCAAGAGUUCAUAUCGACGGCGGUGUUUGGCACCUCGAUGUCGGCUCAUCACAUCCUGGGGCUGAAGUAGGUCCCAAGGGUAUGGCUGUUCGCCAUUUAAAGUGGUACGCGAGCUGGGUUUAGAACGUCGUGAGACAGUUCGGUCCCUAUCUGCCGUGGGCGCUGGAGAACUGAGGGGGGCUGCUCCUAGUACGAGAGGACCGGAGUGGACGCAUCACUGGUGUUCGGGUUGUCAUGCCAAUGGCACUGCCCGGUAGCUAAAUGCGGAAGAGAUAAGUGCUGAAAGCAUCUAAGCACGAAACUUGCCCCGAGAUGAGUUCUCCCUGACCCUUUAAGGGUCCUGAAGGAACGUUGAAGACGACGACGUUGAUAGGCCGGGUGUGUAAGCGCAGCGAUGCGUUGAGCUAACCGGUACUAAUGAACCGUGAGGCUUAACCUUACAACGCCGAAG